rnacentral:rRNA from 1 species
UACAGAGGGUGCGAGCGUUGUCCGGAAUCACUGGGCGUAAAGGGCGCGUAGGUGGCGACCCAAGUCUGUGGUGAAAGCUCGCCGCUUAACGGCGAGUCGGCCACGGAUACUGGGUGGCUCGAGCACUGUAGGGGCAGAUGGAAUUCCGGGUGUAGCGGUGGAAUGCGUAGAGAUCCGGAAGAACACCGGUGGCGAAGGCGGUCUGCUGGGCCGUUGCUGACGCUGAGGCGCGACAGCGUGGGGAGCAAACAGG